rnacentral:rRNA from 1 species
GAUGAACGCUGGCGGCGUGCCUAACACAUGCAAGUCGAGCGAACAGAUAAGGAGCUUGCGCCGUGGACGUUAGCGGCGGACGGGUGAGUAACACGAGGAUAACCUACCUAUAAGACGGGGAUAACUUCGGAAAACCGGAGCUAAUACCGGAGAACAUAUUGAACCGCGGGGUUCAAUAGAGAAAGUCGGCGGUGCGGGAUCUUAUAGAUGGAUCCGCGCCGGAUUAGCUGGUUGGUAAGGUAACGGCUUACCAAGGCAACGAUACGUAUACGACCGGAGAGGCUGAUCGCCCACCCUGGAACUUAGACGCGGUCCAGACUCCUGCGGGACGCAGCAGUAGCGAAUCUUCCGCAAUGGGCGAAAGCCUGACGCAGCGACGCCGCGUGAGUUAUGAAGGUCUUCCGAUCGUAAUGCUCUGUUAUCAGUGAAGAACCGCUUUGUACGUAACUGUGCCCAUCUUGACGGUACCUGAUCAGAAAGCCCCGGCUAACUACGUG